GACAGAGGGGGCAAGCGUUGCUCGGAAUCACUGGGCGUAAAGGGCGCGUAGGCGGGAUGGCAAGUCAGUCGUGAAAUCUCUCGGCUCAACCGAGAAACGUCGGCUGAUACUGCCGUUCUUGAGGGAUGCAGAGGAGACUGGAAUUCCCAGUGUAGCGGUGAAAUGUGUAGAGAUCGGGAGGAACACCGGUGGCGAAGGCGGGUCUCUGGGCAUCUCCUGACGCUGAGGCGCGAAAGCGUGGGGAGCAAACGGG
rnacentral:rRNA from 1 species